UGUCAUUGUUGCGGUUUCUAUCUUGUUCAUGAUUGUUGUUAUUAUUGUCACGGCCGCGGUUACUAUGAGAGCCGAAUCUCUCACGCUCUUUGUCUUCUUCAUCUGCCCAUUGUUGCACCAUGAUUUUGAGAUCUUUGAUAGUGGCUGGACGACGUCUACCAAAGUCUUGGUAUGUUCAACGAUCCCAUUUUGAAAGCACUCAAUGACGUCCCCUUCUGAAAUGUCGACUAUUGUAGCCUUCUUUU
rnacentral:lncRNA from 1 species